rnacentral:rRNA from 1 species
GACGAACGCUGGCGGCGUGCUUAACACAUGCCAGUCGAACGGAAAGGCCCUGCUUGCAGGGUACUCGAGUGGCGAACGGGUGAGUAACACGUGGGUGAUCUGCCCUGCACUUCGGGAUAAGCCUGGGAAACUGGGUCUAAUACCGGAUAGGAGCCAUUUUUAGUGUGAUGGUUGGAAAGUUUUUUCGGUGUAGGAUGAGCUCGCGGCCUAUCAGCUUGUUGGUGGGGUAAUGGCCUACCAAGGCGGCGACGGGUAGCCGGCCUGAGAGGGUGGACGGCCACAUUGGGACUGAGAUACGGCCCAGACUCCUACGGGAGGCAGCAGUGGGGAAUAUUGCACAAUGGGCGCAAGCCUGAUGCAGCGACGCCGCGUGGGGGAUGACGGCCUUCGGGUUGUAAACUCCUUUCGCUAGGGACGAAGCUUUUUGUGACGGCACCUAGAUAAGAAGCACCGGCUAACUACGUG